rnacentral:lncRNA from 1 species
GCUUUUUAAAGUGUACCUUCACAAGACACAAAUGCAUUUUAUUCAGCUGGCUUACAUGCCAUCCAUCCCUACUUUUCUCAAUAACAUUUCACCCAACACACAUAAACCCCAAGCUUACGCUCUACGGAAAAUCUGCAGAAAAAGCAGGCAGCUAACAUUGUCAUUAUCCAGAUAGCAAUUUGCUUAAGCUGGAGAGCCUGCUUGUUCACAAAGGUCCAAUAGAUCCAGGGUCUGCACAACAACAGUAAGACUUUCAGAAUUCAACUUUGAUUCAUACCAAAAUUCACAUUCAAAUGGAAGAUGAAAAAGAACCAAGCCAAAAUGUAAAUAUUGAUCAGACCUCAGGAACUGAGAGCUCAAGACGGAACUUUGGGCCAUCAUAAUGGUGCAACACUGGCCUAAAAGCAUCCUCUUCCAAUGCCUUGCAGAGCUUUCUAACACGGAUCCUCACCUAUUUAUUGAGCAUAAGAAGACAAAUGAUAUAAUGAGUAAAUCAUUUCAGAUGUAUAUCAAGCCGAGUCCUCAAAAUCAUCAACCCAACUUUUACCUGAGCAGGAAACCUCGACUCGCCUUUACAUUUUUUGUCUUCCCAAGCAGUAGGAUCAAUGUUAGAACCCCCAAAACUAGCUGCCUGUACAAGAAUUUGAAAAGCAGGAGAUUUCAACUGAUAGAAAAGCUCGGGACAUGACAAAGAUAUGUUGCAUAUCACAAUAAACUUUUUGGAAAAGGGAAUGUCCAAAUGAUAACCACAUACUAUCAACUCAAAAUUCUAUUUUCACACAACAAAUCAAGAUAAGAAUGAACUACAGAUUACUUAACUAAAGUUAUCAAAUAAAAUAAGUUGGCAGACAGACAACACAGAUCAAAGCAGAAAGCUCCUAAUCACAUUUAUACACUAACAAUUAUAUCAAUAGAGUUUGAGAACAAACCUCAAAUAUACCAUGCAACUGGUGAGUUGUGUAGUUGUAAAGAAAGAGAGGUAAGCCAGGUGUUAUUGCCCGAACAGAAUCUCUAUAUCUUGGAGGUAAACCUAUUGAAUGAGUGUCACAAUCACUACAUCAGGUAUUAUUUAUCCAAACUUAGUAGCAUAGUUAUUAUAGGCUCAAGGAGAAAAGGAGAUUUGGCGCCCAGACACAAGAAACAGGCACAUGCCAGAAUGAAAUGAGGCGUGAAAAAUUAAAUUAUCAAGAAAGCAAUUUUAGAUAAUCAAAAAACCAAAAAAGGUUAAUAAGAGAAUAUUGAAAACAACAUAUGAGAGAGAUUAAUUGUGGGAGGGGGGGUCAAUGGAAGUACUUGCUGAAGGUGGCAAUAAAGUUGAGCUUGCGUCUGAAAUAAGGAGCACACCUACCUACUUAAGGCAUUGAGGCUAAAGCCUAGUGAGAGUCUGAGCCUCUGAGGCGACCGUUUAAUAAUUAUGGUUAGUGAAGGAAAUAAAUUCCUAAAUAUCAUCUAUAUAUGCCAAAGUUGUGUCACAACACUUGGUGUAUACCAUGAAGACCAUCAUGAUAUCAUCCAACUCCAGAGAUUCAAGGUUACAAGAACCAUAUGUGACACUCUCAUGUCAGAACUCACAUCAUAUCACUCACAUAUCAAUAGGCUUCCCAUCAUACAGUGGUCAACACAUAUCAGGCCAGAAGUGAUGUCCUGACUAAGGGAAAACUAACAAGAAAAAGAAAAAGAAGUGAGGAACACAUUACCAAAUAGCUGGCGCUUCAAAUCUUCCUGCAUAGUGUCAUUGUUACAGACAAAGAUGUAUCCUCCAAGAACCUCAUUCCGUGGAAGCGUCUCUGUUGCAGGCAGAGUCUUGAACCUUUUGUCAACAGCAUUAUUUGCACUGUUCUCAAUGUUGUUAAUGUUGUUAUUGCUGUUGUUGUUGGGGUCUUUGGUAUUCUGAUUGUUACCGCUAUACUUGCUACCAGUAAGAUUUCCAAUACCAUUUAAGUUGGUUUUCUGGUACACUGCAUUCAUAUUGUAAACUCCACUUCUGAAAGAACCUUUGCCCACAUUUUCAGCCAUCUUAGAUUCCAAGUUCAACAUAUUAAAGUUAAGGCUUUCAAAUUUAUUAUCUUCCUGAAACCCAAUCUUCUCCCUUGGCCUUAAUUCUGACAGACCUUUUGAAAGAUCAAGAUUAUUCAUGCGUUCCCCCUUUGACCUUGUCUGCUCAGCCAAUUUCGAGGCAGCCAUUAACCACUUAUGAU